rnacentral:tRNA from 1 species
GGUAUGUGGCUUAGUGGUAAAGUGCUUACCUGGCAUGCACAGGGCCCUGGGUUUGAUUCCCAGCACCA